UUAGGAAUUUUGGGCAAUGGGGGAAACCCUGACCCAGCAACGCCGCGUGGGUGACGAAGGCCUUCGGGUCGUAAAGCCCUUUUCCAGGGGAAGAUAGUGACGGUACCCUGGGAAUAAGCCCCGGCUAACUACGUGCCAGCAGCCGCGGUAAUACGUAGGGGGCGAGCGUUGUCCGGAUUUAUUGGGCGUAAAGGGCUCGCAGGCGGCCUGGCCAAGUCGUGCGUGAAAUCUCUCGGCUUAACUGAGAGCGGUCGUGCGAUACUGGUCGGCUUGAGGCCGGUAGGGGGAAGCGGAAUUCCGGGUGUAGUGGUGGAAUGCGUAGAUAUCCGGAGGAACACCAGUGGCGAAGGCGGCUUCCUGGACCGGUCCUGACGCUCAGGAGCGAAAGCGUGGGUAGCGAUCCG
rnacentral:rRNA from 1 species